rnacentral:tRNA from 10 species
GGGUUUUGCUAUGUUGACCAGGCUGGUCUCAAACUCCUGGCCUCAAGCAAUCCUCCUGCCUCGGCUCCUGAAGUGCUGGGAUUACAGGCAUGUGUCACAAUAUCCUGAGCCAUGCCAGCCCAUAUAUUUUCUUUGAAAAAAAUGUCUAUUAGAGUCUUUCAUCUUUUUUUUUUUUUUGCAGCGGGAGUUUUGUGGUGGCGGUGGGGGAGUCUUGCUCUGUUGCCCAGGCUGGAGGGUAGUGGCACAACCUUGACUCACCACAACCUCUGCCACCUGGGUUCAAGCGAUUCUCCUGCAUCAGCCUCCUAAGUAGCUGGGAUUACAGGCGCCUGCCAGCACACCUGGCUAGUUUUUGUAAUUUUAGUAGAGAUGGGGUUUCACCAUGUUGCCCAGGCUGGUCUCAAACUCCUAGCCUCAAGCAAUCCACUUGUCUCGGCCUCCCAAAGUGCUGGGAUUACAGACAUGAGCCACCACGCCUGGGUUGUUUUGUCCAUCUUUACAUUUAGUUGUUUGUCUUCUUAUUAUCGAGUUAUAAGACAUCAUUUUAAAAAAUAGGUCAGUCAUAGUUGAUUGUAUGCAUGGGACGUCAUUUGUUUAACUUGUUUCCUAUUGAUAUCUCUUAAAAUUUUCGUUUUAUACGUAUUUUUAUAAUAGGCAUAAUAUAUUAAUGCAAUAGUUUAUGUUCCUGACAUAAAUAAGCAAAUACAAUUGGAAUACAUCCUCAAGUUAGUUUGCUGAGAGGGAUCAUUAAGGCCUGGUGACCCCUGACCUGAGCCUUCCUCCCCCUCCCCCCUCUCCCCGCCUGCCCCACCCCGUCCAUCAGGCCCUUUCUAGCAAUCUCAAGGUUUGUAGAAACCUUGUUAAAAGCCCUCUUUCCUGGCAGCCUCUGACCUCCAAAAAGUCUGAUUGGGAUCCCCUAACUGAUGAGGGAGGCUGAGGCUGAGGGAGUCCACCCAGGGUAACAUCGGCACGGUCUGAAUCACAGGGCUUUCUGGAAUGACCCAGAGGCCACCCCUUCCUUAAUUUGGGAAGCUCCAGGCUAGAGGACAUGAUGAGUGUUCAUGCUGAGGUUCUCCUGAGUCCAGCAGCGUGAGGCGAGCUCAGAGCCCAGGAGUGUGGUUCGGGAUGGUGCUGCCCUCAGCCCCCAUGCUGCGUCCUGACCCCCCGCCCAUCCAUCUGCCCAGCCUGUCAAUGUGGACUCACACACACCUGGUGUCACCUCAGAGCAAUCCAAAGUAAAAGACCCUGCUGGUCCAUGUCUCCCCUCCUGGUGGUUCCUUCAUCUCCAUUAUCUUCUUCUUCAUCAUCCUCAUUGUCACCACGUACUGCAGACAUGUCCCAUGCCUGUAAGUGACUUCUGGGAUACUGUUUAAUCCUCCAACAAAUCCUACGAGCUGGAGCUUAUUAGUUCUCUAUUGCAGAAGAGAAAACUGAGGCUCCGGGAGGCUAUGGGACUUCUCUGUCCCAUCUUAGCAACAGAGGUGGAAUCCACAGUCCACACCUUUGACUGGGACAUGGCCCUACCCACCCUUCAGGGGCUGAGAACUGGCGCAGACUCAGCCUUCAGCUGAUUUUCACCUGAUUCUUAGCAGACGUCUUGGAAAAACCUCCUGGUGACAUAAUAAGAGCAGUGUGGCUCCAGGGUCGGGGAGGAAUUUAGGGGGUGAGAAUUGGGGGUGCCCCCCCUUGCCCUGAGCCAGGGCAGCUGCAGAGAAAGUACUAUUCAGGGCAGGGCAGGAAUGGACCCUGGAGAGCCUGAGGGUCCCACAGGGAGAGCACGCUGUCUACCCCCAGCACAGCCCCCGCCUCUCCUGGGGCUCAGCAGGCAGAGGGGAGAGGGCAGGUUCAGCCCAGAGAAGAGGGACUGUCACAGGUACCAAGCUUGUCUACUUUGGCAGGAGAAAGCUAAGGUCUGUAAUCACACUUUCUGUUUUCACUUUUCUUCCAUUUCUGAGUAAGCAUUUCUAUUGGAAAACUCCAGACUUGUCUGAGCUCAACGAAAGGAAAAGGGAUCUGUGGGCACCCAGAGCAGGCCAGGGGUGGGGGUGGGGAGCCGGGCCCCUGAGUGGGUAGUAUGCGUUUCCAGGGGCUCAGAUCUGAUGAUCCCAUCCUUGGCUCCACAAAUUCAAUCCAUGCCCCUUAGCUUGGCAUUCGAGGCCUUUCCUUCAUCUGGCUUCAGCCCCUGCUUCUCUCUGGCUUACAUCCAGGUUUCUGCUCACAUUGUUCCCUAUGCCCACAAUGCCCUUUCCUCCCAUCCUAAGAGAUCCAAUGCCCAAACUCUGGUCAUCCUUCAAGGCCCAGCCCAGAUGCCUCCUCCUCCAUGAAGCCUUCCUUGACCCCCUCAGCUGGACAUGACAUCUCCCUCUUCUGAAUUCCCACAGCCCUUGGUUCAUACUUCUCUGAGGGCGUAUUCCAUUCUCCCACCAGCAGCAGACCUUGGUUGUGACCCUACCCAGCAUCCUUCCUCCUUCUGAUCAAAACACUCCAAUAUUCCAUGAGAAAUAUCUGUCGCCCACCUUCAGACAUGUGGUCCAGAAGAAGCUGAUUCCACUCCCAGGAUCCAGAGAGGCUCAUAAGGCCCAGGCCUCGAAGUCGGAGUAGCCCAUCUUUUCUCCUACCCCCUCCACUUCUGAACCCUGUGCUUGCUAUGGGAUCAGUUCAGCACCAAGCACAGGGCCAGCCGCACAGAAAGUUUCCACGAGGGUUUGUAGAACCGUCUGUGGGAGGAGUGAACACGCUGGCUGUCCUGGCCCUCCCCACCCCAACCAGGAGCCCAUCUCGGGCCUGGGACUCUCCACCUUCUCCCCAGACCUGACCUGGCAGUGGACAGCCCAGACUGGAGCUUCCUGCCUGCCACACUGGCUCUCCAGUCAGCAGAGGCCAGAAAGUGGUGAUUUCCUGUAUUGCAGGAUCAGAUGGCAGAAUCGCAAGAGCUCCGCAUCCCCAGGGACUCAUCUGAAAGACAAUGUGAAGCAAAGACAAUGUGAGGCGUGGGGAGACUUCCAGCCUGUUGGUCAGAGUUUGCCUCAUGACCCCACCCUGACUGCACGGAAGGCUGGGAAGUGUGGAGGAGGACAUGAGUAGUCAAUGAGCAUUGAGUGCCUCUGCCAUGCUGGGUAUCCCAGGGGAAGAGGAGACACAGGCACAGAGGACUGGAGGACUUUGAGGCUGGAUAUCUAGGUUCAAACCCAAGCUCUUCUAGAAUGACUAGAAGCUAUGUGACCUUGGGAAAAUUACUAAAUGUCUCUGAGUCUUGCUUUUCUCCUGUGCCAAACGGGGAUAAAAUAAGAGUUCCUACCUCACGAGGUUGUUGGGAAGAUAAAUCAGACCAUGCUUAUAAAAAGAGCUAGUGGUGCCCAGCACAAGGUUGGCAUUUGUAUUAGUCUGCUUUCACGCUGCUAAUAAAGACAUAUCCAAGACUGGGUAAUUUAUAAAGAAAAAGAGGUUUAAUGGACUCACAAUUCUACGUGGCUGGGGAGGCCUCACAAUCAUGAUGGAAGGCAAAAGGCAUGUCUUACAUGGUGGCAGGCAAAAAGAGAAUGAGGGAAGCAAGUGAAAGGGGUUUCCCCUUGUACAACCAUCAGCUCUCAUGAGACUUAUUCACUGUCAUUUGAACAGUAUGGGAGAAACCGCCCCCGUGAUUCAAUGAUCUCCCACCGGGUCCCUCCCAAAACACGUGGGAAUUAUGGAAGCUACAAAUCAAAAUGAGAUUUGGUUGGGGACACAGCCAAACCAUAUCAGCAUUUAAUAAGUGGACACUAUUUGAUUAGUCUGUUUAGAAAAAGUUGAAGAUGCUCAACAUAUGACUGAAAAAUAGAGCUAAUUGAAAAAUAUAGCCAAAGCCUCCCUUUCAAUAGCUGGCUCCCUUGUCUGCCCCUGCCCAGGGUCCCCUUGCUCUCCUUCCCUCCCCUCUGCAAGGACUUAUAAGGAUCCCCCAGUCAACCACUCCCCUGUGUGCGAGAAGAUCUGCCCUCUCCCCCAGGGUGCAUGUAUCUGAAGUCUUAGUGUUGGGUACACGCAUCUGAAGUCUUGGUGUUGAUCGUGGGGAGAAAACCUUGGUGCUCUGUUGAAGAAUACCAAACAUUAGCAAGCAGAUGAGAGAGGGGCACAUAUGUUCUCCAAACAGUGCUCCUACUUGUGUUUAUGGCAAACAGGGUGCCCAGAGAAUGGAAGAUGCUGAGAUCCUUGAAAAGUGUCUUGGAGGAGGUCAGGUUUAGGCAAGCGACUAGAAGGAGGGGGACCCCGGGUGGCUGAGGGAGGAGGGAGGGGCUGGAAAAGAGCCUGUAACAACCUCAGCAAUGGAGGAGACAGUAAGAAACCAUGCUGGUGAUGGAGUGGGAGAUAACUCUUCACAUCCAGAGAGCUCUGCACAGUUUAAAAGUAAGGCCACCUGACUGGUGAAAACUCAACAGAGCUCAGUGGCAGGGAGAGCAACAUCUGAACUCUCCUUUCCAGUGUUGCUGUCACUGGGAAGCAGUUGCCGAGCCAGGGACCACAUUUCCCAGGCCCCCUUGGCCCCAUGCCACGUUCUUGCCAAUGGAAUGGGAGCAGAAGUAACGUGUGUCACUUCCAGGCCAAGGCUUUUGAGGAGUGGUUAUGCCUUUCAUGGGGUCUCUUUCCCCUCCUAUUAAAUGAGUGUAGAAGAUGAUAGUUAGACCAGGCGGUGGUAGGGCCUCAAAAUGGAAAAAGCCUGGUCUCUAAAUCACUGCAUGGGGGAAGGUCACCUGCAAACCAAGAACAUCUGCAAUGAACUGGUAAAUAAGUGGGAAAUAAACAAAAUAUAUUUGGGGGUUUAUUUGUUGUAGCAACUAGCAUUGUCUUGAAGCAUGGUGAGUACAUCUUUCUUUGAAGGGGCUUCUGGGGCACUGUGAGGGGUACGGAGGGAUGAAAGCCCCCUUUGGCACUGCCACUGCUCCUCCCCCAAUGGUCCUCUUGCUUCACAAGGGGGAAGCUCUCUUGCUCUCCUUCCUUCCUUCUCCACCCACAUUCUUCCCAACAAGACAGGGACAGGACCCAGCAUGGGUGGAGUUUUGGACAUCCAGUUUGGACAUUCUUAUUUCUUAAGAAUCCUUCCUCAGAGCAUGAGUUGGAAGUUUUGGCACUUUUGAGAGAUGUGACCAGCUGACUCUAUAACUGGGUGGGGCAACAUGGGAAAACGAGAUGGAGAGACCACCAAGGGAGGCAGUCAAUGGAAGGGAGCGGAAAGGAAAGCCAGGCCAGGAGCUUGGAUGUGAUUUUUUUUUUUUUUUGAGACGGAGUCUCGCACUGUUGCCCAGGCGGGAAUCCAGUGGUACAAUCUGCACUCACUGCAAUAUCCGCCUCCCCAGUUUAAGCGAUUCUCCUGCCUCAGCCUCCCAAGUAGCUGGGAUUGCAGGCACCUGCCACCACGACCAGCUAAUUUUUGUAUUUUUAGUAGAGACAGGGUUUCGCCAGGGUUGGCCAGGCUGGUCUCGAACUACCGACCUCAAGUGAUCCACCCAUCUUGGCCUUCCAAAUUGCUGGGAUUACAGGUGUGAGCUACUGCAUCUGUCCUGGCUAUGAUAUUUUGAGUAAAGGGAAGUCCAGGUGUUUCAGACCCCAUCUCCUCCCUGCAGGCUGAGCCAGCUAAGCAAGGAUCAGGGCCCAUUGUGGCUUCUCCUGGAGAGGGGAGAGUAUACCACCUGUACCACUGAGGCCAGCUCAUCUGUCCCCAGAGGACCAUGCUCAUCUCAGGCCAUGGUGGCAACAGCCCCCACAGAGGGGUGGCUGCAUGAUGCAGCUCAGAAGGCUUGGGGGAACAGGAACACCUUCCCAAGGCUCCUUGGCAUUGUCCUGCCUUCACCUCCCAGGACAGUGUUGAGGAAGAACAUUCCUUCUUAGUAACAGGGCAGAGAAAGGAAGACGGUCUUCCCCGAAGUGCUAUGCAUCCGACUUCCCCCCAUCACAUGGCCACCUUUCUUUUCCACCCUCCCAGAUCUUGCACAGCCAUCUGCAAAUAAGUGGUGUUCCUCCACCCCACUUCCCCACACCUAGGAUAACCUGAUGGACUGUCUUUUCUGGUGCUCACCUCUGCUGCUG